AGCCUCGAGGUGUAUACAUAUCAAAUUGCAAAUUUGAAGUAGCAGAUUAGACUCUGCCGGGGCUU
rnacentral:tRNA from 1 species